rnacentral:rRNA from 1 species
GGCUUCAGUGGGCUCGGCCUAUCGAGCUUGACCCUUGCCUUUUUGAGUACCUUUCGUUUCCUCGGUACGCUCGCCUGCCGGUGGCCCACCAAACCAAACCCUGUAUUAUCAUCUGUAAUAGUCUGAGUAAACAAAAAUUAAAUCAAAACUUUCAACAACGGAUCUCUUGGUUCUGGCAUCGAUGAAAAACGCAGCGAAAUGCCAUAAGUAGUGUGAAUUGCAGAAUUCAGUGAAUCAUCGAAUCUUUGAACGCACAUUGCGCCCUUUGGUAUUCCUUAGGGCAUGCCUGUUCGAGCGUCAUUCAAACCUUCAAGCUCUGCUUGGUGUUGGGUGUCUGUCCCGCCUCUGGGCGCGGACUCGCCUCAAAUUCAUUGGCGGCCGGUACGUUGGCUUCGAGCGCAGCAGAAACGCGUUCUCGAGACUGGCGGACUGGCUCCCAGAAGCUAACCCCAUGAAUUUUGACCUCGGAUCAGGUAGGGAUACCCGCUGAACUUAAGCAUAUCAUAAGGCCGGAGGAAAGAAGACCCGCUGAACUUAAGCAUAUCAAUAAGCGGAGGAA